AGCAGCCGCGGUAAUUCCAGCUCCAAUAGCGUAUAUUAAAGUUGUUGCAGUUAAAAAGCUCGUAGUUGAAUUUCGGGAUCAAUAUGUUGGUCGUGCCUUGGUACGUACUAAUUUAUUGGUUUCUUCCUUCUGACGAACCAUGAUGUCAUUAAUUUUGUGUCUUGGGGAAUCAGGACUGUUACUUUGAAAAAAUUAGAGUGUUUAAAGCAGGCUCACGCUUGAAUACAUUAGCAUGGAAUAAUGAAAUAGGACGUUUGAUUCUAUUUUGUUGGUUUCUAGGAUCGACGUAAUGAUUAAUAGGGAUAGUUGGGGGCAUUAGUAUUCAAUUGUCAGAGGUGAAAUUCUUGGAUUUAUUGAAGACUAACUACUGCGAAAGCAUUUGCCUAAGGAUGUUUUCAUUAAUCAAGAACGAAAGUUAGGGGAUCGAAGACGAUCAGAUACCGUCGUAGUCUUAACCAUAAACUAUAGCCGACUAGGGAUCGGGAUUGAUGUUAAUUUUUAUGACUCAUUCGGCGCCUUA
rnacentral:rRNA from 1 species